UUAUAUAAUUUCUAUAGUUAAAGUAUUUUUCAAACACAAAUGGUUUUAUUACUAUUCACAAUCUGACAGAUAUUUUAAAAUAUUCCAUGCGUCCAAUUGAAUCUAAUCCUUUAAACUUGGGGCGCUUUUUGACAAAGAGUCAAAGCAAGGAGAAUUUUUAUUUUUUAUUUUUGAAUUCAAAAUUUCAAAGUAAUUUAAUCAUGAAUAAAUCUGGGGAGCAACCCCUGUUUAGGAGCAGUCGCUGCACACCUUACAUGUCUUAAAUAAAAUUACCAAAAACACCCUACAACAAAACCAACGUAACGCACGUUCCCUCUUUGAUUUCUCAAAAUCACUCCCAAACCUCCUCAGCCUUCAUCUUCCUCGAUCUAAGCCCUCGAAGCCAAGUCCUCUCUACCACGACCUCAGCUCUCGAUUCUUGAGUCCACCAAAGUGAUGCCCUCAGUCCACUCAACGUGAAGCCGCCCUCAGUCCACCGACACGAAUCCCUCAGAUCUGCAGGAGGUAAAUAAUCUGUGAUUCUAGGGUCUUUCCCAAAUGCCGUUAGUUUUGGGUUCCUUUGGAGCUAUAAUGACCACAUCUGAACUCAACAAUUCGCAAAACCUCAUGGAAUGAAAAGCUAGCGAAAACUGUUCCUACCUAUGUCUUCAGUAUCUUAUGAUGCCACCUUAUAUGUCCUACCCUCAAUUGAGUAAUACGGAGGACGUGAGGCAAGUUGAAAUGACUCAUGUGUCAACUGUGCCAACUAGUGCGGAAUUUUCAAAAAGUGUUGGAAAUACAUCAUGGAUGACUUAUCAAAGUUGUCGUGCUACUUGUUUUGUGUUGGUGUAAUUUUAGUGUUCAUUUGAUUUUAGACUGCUUGUUUUGUGUUGAUGUAAUCGCUGUGAGCAUUGUACAUAGCGUAAAUACCAUGUUCUAUUCUGUUUGAUAGUGCACUAUAAAUUCAUACUUGGCUACCCUUAAGUCUCAAUUUUCAUCUAUUGAAAUAAUCUGUCUUCGUUUUUCCCCU